rnacentral:rRNA from 1 species
AUUGAACGCUGGCGGCAGGCCUAACACAUGCAAGUCGAACGAGUGGCGGACGGGUGAGUAAUGUCUGGGAAACUGCCUGAUGGAUGGGGAUAACUACUGGAAACGGUAGCUAAUACCGCAUACCAUCGGAUGUGCCCAGCUGGGCUUAGCCAGUAGGUGGGGUAAAGGCUCACCUAGGCGACGAUCCCUAGCUGGUCGGAGAGGAUGACCAGCCAGACUGGAAAUGAGACAAGGUACAGACUCCUACGGGAGGCAGCAGUGGGGAAUAUUGCACAAUGGGCGCAAGCCUGAUGCAGCCAUGCCGCGUGUAUGAAGAAGGCCUUCGGGUUGUAAAGUACUUUCAGCGGGGAGGCGUUACCCGCAGAAGAAGCACCGGCUAACUCCGUGCCAGCAGCCGCGGUAAUUC